GAUGAACGCUGGCGGCGUGCUUAACACAUGCAAGUCGAACGAUGAAGCCCAGCUUGCUGGGUGGAUUAGUGGCGAACGGGUGAGUAACACGUGAGUAACCUGCCCUUAACUCUGGGAUAAGCCUGGGAAACUGGGUCUAAUACCGGAUAGGAGCGUCCACCGCAUGGAGGGUGUUGGAAAGAUUUAUCGGUUUUGGAUGGACUCGCGGCCUAUCAGCUUGUUGGUGAGGUAAUGGCUCACCAAGGCGACGACGGGUAGCCGGCCUGGGAGGGUGACCGGCCACACUGGGACUGAGACACGGCCCAGACUCCUACGGGAGGCAGCAGUGGGGAAUAUUGCACAAUGGGCGCAAGCCUGAUGCAGCGACGCCGCGUGAGGGAUGACGGCCUUCGGGUUGUAAACCUCUUUCAGUAGGGAAGAAGCGAAAGUGACGGUACCUGCAGAAGAAGCACCGGCUAACUACGUG
rnacentral:rRNA from 1 species